rnacentral:lncRNA from 1 species
GGGUCAUUAGAAUGGAAGCACAGAACCCUCCUGGCGUGGGCCAGCGGUGGAGAACAGUGCUUCAGCCCUGCGUUCCACACACGGUCUACCCAACAGCUCCUUUGGCUGUUCAGAGACGGGCUGCACCAGAAGCCUGUAAGAUGGAAUGGGCACGUACAAGCAUUUUGCGGAGUUCUCUCUUAAUACAAAAUUAAUAGCUUAAAGCUCUCUAGCUUGAAAACCUUGACGGGAGACAUGAAAGAAAGAUCCCCAGCGAGAAGUUCAUCUUGCAUUGGGUGUCUCGUGGCACUGCGAUUGUAAUUAUGUACAGGCGUGCACUUACCUUCAGAUACUCACGUUCCUGCAUCUAGGAGGAGACACCACCAAAUGCUGUACAGUUAACAAUUUUAAAAGUUAAAAGGAGAAAUCUUGCUGGGCCUAGUGACACACACCUUAGUUCCAGCACCUGGGAGGCAGAGGCAGGGUGUGAGUUUGAGACCAGCCUGGUCUACAGAAUGAGUUCCAGGACAGCCAGAGGUUCACAGAAACAACAAACAAACAAACAAACAAUGGGGAUGGAUGGAUAGGUAGGUAGGUAGGUUGAGAUGGUUCAGCAGUACCCACAUUGUGGAUGGAGAGAACUGAUUUCCAGAAGUUAUCCUCUGAUAUUCAGAUACCCAGUGUAGUGCAUAUGGUACAUAUGUGCCUCCACAGAAAUAAAACAUAAAAGAGAAAAUGCAGUAUGAAUCUUCACAACUGAGCAGCAGAUCGCCCACGAGAGCAGGUGCUGCGUGCUUGUUGAACCUGCCAGGCUUGUAAGCAUCCUUGGACUUUUCUCACGUUGUAAACUUCGCUUCCAA